rnacentral:rRNA from 1 species
UACGUAGGAUCCAAGCGUUGUCCGGAUUUACUGGGUGUAAAGGGUGCGCAGGCGGACUGAUAAGUCAGGAGUGAAAUCUCGGCGCUUAACGCCGAAACGUCUUUUGAUACUGUUGGUCUUGAAUUAGAGAGAGAUUCGUGGAAUUCCGAGUGGUAGCAGUGAAAUGUGUAGAUAUUCGGAAGAACACCAGUGGCGAAGGCAGCGAAUUGGCUCUAUAUUGACGCUCAGGCACGAAAGCAUGGGGAUCAAACAGG